GAUUAAGUUAUUAAGGGCACACGGUGGAUGCCUUGGCACUAGAAGCCGAUGAAGGACGUUACUAACGACGAUAUGCUUUGGGGAGCUGUAAGUAAGCUUUGAUCCAGAGAUUUCCGA
rnacentral:rRNA from 1 species